rnacentral:rRNA from 1 species
CGCACGGGUGCGUAACGCGUGGGAAUCUGCCCCUGGGUUCGGAAUAACAGCGAGAAAUUGCUGCUAAUACCGGAUGAUGACGAAAGUCCAAAGAUUUAUCGCCCAGGGAUGAGCCCGCGUAGGAUUAGCUAGUUGGUGAGGUAAGAGCUCACCAAGGCGACGAUCCUUAGCUGGUCUGAGAGGAUGAUCAGCCACACUGGGACUGAGACACGGCCCAGACUCCUACGGGAGGCAGCAGGC